UUUUCCCCUAGAAGUGUUGCAGUGAGUGGCUCCUGUGUCACAUGUGCAUCAGUAGGUGGCAGAGAGGAGAGAGGCUGUGUCUAUGCUCAUCGUUCUGACCUGGAAAUAUCUGAAUGAUUAGUAGCCUAACACU
ensembl:snoRNA Gm23323 predicted gene, 23323